GAUGAACGCUAGCGGCAGGCUUAAUACAUGCAAGUCGAGGGGCAGCAGGGGUAGCAAUACUCGCUGGCGACCGGCAAACGGGUGCGGAACACGUACAGAACCUUCCUUUAAGUGGGGGAUAGCCCAGAGAAAUUUGGUAUUAAUACCCGUAACAUUAUUUAGUGGCACCACUUAGUAAUUAUAGAUUAUCGCUUAGAGAUGGCUGUGCGGCUGAUUAGGUAGUUGGUGCAGGUAACGGCUCACCAAGCCUACGAUCAUUAACUGGUGUGAGAGCACGACCAGUCACACGGGCACUGAGACACGGGCCCGGACUCCACGGGA
rnacentral:rRNA from 1 species